GACAUAUAGUUAUCCCAACUCAAAACUUGUUAAUAUGUACACGUUACUAAUUUUAUAAAUAGCAAGGCUAUCAAUCGUUUGCCCAACUACUUCAUCAUAUGUUACGCACAUACACAUAUAAUAGUAAUUCUAUAUUCUUAUGUUCCUGUUAAAGUCAACCUCCUCCUAUAAUUAAUCACCACCGUUAGAUCAUCCUCAGAUGAAAUCCUAUCCGUUUAAAAUAGCAGAAUCCUUCUAGAAGCAGAAGUUAUCGGUGGUUUUGAACGGUUUUCUUCCUCAGUUUCAUUCCAUCCCACGUCGCCGGCAAUAACCACUUCAAUACCUUCUCUAUUCAUUUACAAAAUACUACCGUAAGAGGAGAUGUUCCAAUCGGUUACUACCACCACCAAGCCAAUCAUCUCCGCCUCUCAAUCUACCGUCUCUGCUGCUCAAUCGGUUGUCACCGUCACGCAAUCGACCAUCACAGCCGUCCGAUCAGCCAUCUACGGAGAUCUUUUCUGACAUCACAUCGGGAUGGUAAGUUCUUCUAUAAUUUCCACCUUAAUAUGUUACUUUUCAGCAUUUUGUUCAAUAUUUAACGACCUGUGAUCAAAAGGAUCAAUUUUGAUGGCGAUUAACUCGAAGAUGCUGGAGCAGGAACCACUAUUUCGGUUAUGAAUCUGUUGAAGGCUGCAGAUUCCGAACUUCUUGAACUUCCCGAUGGUUAUAAAUUUCAAAGUUUAAAGUUAGGCACUGUGACCUCAUAAAAGGCACAACUCGAUUUACAUUUGGAAUUUCAAGAUGUACCCUUUUCAUGGCCUAAACAAGUUGGGACUCACCAAGAGAAUUGGAUCAAGGGUUUUUGCUUUCAAAUACUAGCGAGGUUUAUGGGGAUUCUCUUGUGCAUCCUCAAAAGGAAACAUAUUGGUGGCAUGUGAAUCCAACAGAUACACUAUUUAAUUGUUCUUAUGUUGCUUUUAUAUUAUUUUAUUUAUAAUUUUUAAAUUAAAGUUUCUGAGUUAUGUAGGUGUUAGAAGCUGCUACAGUCAAGUGAAAAGGAUUGCUGAAAAUUUAACAAUGAAUAAUCAGCGUGACACUAGUGUGGAGAUGAAAUCCUAUCCGUUUAAAAUAGCAGAAUCCUUCUAGAAGCAGAAGUUAUCGGUGGUUUUGAACGGUUUUCUUCCUCAGUUUCAUUCCAUCCCACGUCGCCGGCAAUAACCACUUCAAUACCUUCUCUAUUCAUUUACAAAAUACUACCGUAAGAGGAGAUGUUCCAAUCGGUUACUACCACCACCAAGCCAAUCAUCUCCGCCUCUCAAUCUACCGUCUCUGCUGCUCAAUCGGUUGUCACCGUCACGCAAUCGACCAUCACAGCCGUCCGAUCAGCCAUCUACGGAGAUCUUUUCUGACAUCACAUCGGGAUGGUAAGUUCUUCUAUAAUUUCCACCUUAAUAUGUUACUUUUCAGCAUUUUGUUCAAUAUUUAACGACCUGUGAUCAAAAGGAUCAAUUUUGAUGGCGAUUAACUCGAAGAUGCUGGAGCAGGAACCACUAUUUCGGUUAUGAAUCUGUUGAAGGCUGCAGAUUCCGAACUUCUUGAACUUCCCGAUGGUUAUAAAUUUCAAAGUUUAAAGUUAGGCACUGUGACCUCAUAAAAGGCACAACUCGAUUUACAUUUGGAAUUUCAAGAUGUACCCUUUUCAUGGCCUAAACAAGUUGGGACUCACCAAGAGAAUUGGAUCAAGGGUUUUUGCUUUCAAAUACUAGCGAGGUUUAUGGGGAUUCUCUUGUGCAUCCUCAAAAGGAAACAUAUUGGUGGCAUGUGAAUCCAACAGAUACACUAUUUAAUUGUUCUUAUGUUGCUUUUAUAUUAUUUUAUUUAUAAUUUUUAAAUUAAAGUUUCUGAGUUAUGUAGGUGUUAGAAGCUGCUACAGUCAAGUGAAAAGGAUUGCUGAAAAUUUAACAAUGAAUAAUCAGCGUGACACUAGUGUGGAGGUCAGAAUCGGGCGUAUUUUCAACACAUACGGACCUUGGAUGUGUCUAGAUGAUGGCCAUAUAGUUAGCAACUUUGUUUCUCAUGUCAUCCGUAAACAACCAAUGACAGUUUAUGGUGAUGGAUAACAAAAUUCAAGCUUUCAAUACGUCUCCGACUUGGUGAUCAUGGUGGGCCUUUCAGUUUAGGCAGUCCUGGAUAGUUUACCAUGUUAGAGUUUGCUCAGGUUUGUCUUUCAAUAACUUUUUAAUUAAAUUUACUAGAGUUGGCAUAUUCGACCACCUGUUUUCUAAAUGAUGGGUCAAUUUGGGUUAUUCAUAAAUCAUAACCUCGAACAAGUCAGAAAGGAUGGGUUAAACGGGCUAAACGUGUUGAAAGUCACUUCAAACCAUCUUCGCCUAGCUGCCGAAGACAAGGUAUAUCUGAACUUGUAGUGAUGGUUGCAGAUGCCAAACCUCUUGAAAUUCUUCUCUAUCUUCUCUUACCUGGGUGGGUCAGGCUGGUUGUGUAACGGGUUAAAAUAGUUUCAGGUCCAAAGCGGGCCAGACUGUGUCGGAAGAGCAAAUUACCAAGAAAGUUAAAUUAGUUUACGAAAUUAUAUAUUCGUAUGUUCCCAUUAAAGUUAACUCUUUUUAUGGGUUUAUCUUGACCAUUCAAAGUGCUCAACUUUUAAUCCUGACUUUUGAAAAUCAUUUUUUUCUUCAAAGUUAACUCUUUUGAAAAUCAUUGUCCACACAUGGAACUGACUUAAAGAUUGAAAAUUGCAAGUAAGAAGUUUAAAUAGAUGGCUUAGUAGUUAUAUGGGUCAAAGUGAGUGUUUUACACAUAUAAUAGUAAUUCUAUAUUCUUAUGUUCCUGUUAAAGUCAACCCCCUCCUAUAAUUAAUCACCACCGUUAGAUCAUCCUCAGAUGAAAUCCUAUCCGUUUAAAAUAGCAGAAUCCUUCUAGAAGCAGAAGUUAUCGGUGGUUUUGAACGGUUUUCUUCCUCAGUUUCAUUCCAUCCCACGUCGCCGGCAAUAACCACUUCAAUACCUUCUCUAUUCAUUUACAAAAUACUACCGUAAGAGGAGAUGUUCCAAUCGGUUACUACCACCACCAAGCCAAUCAUCUCCGCCUCUCAAUCUACCGUCUCUGCUGCUCAAUCGGUUGUCACCGUCACGCAAUCGACCAUCACAGCCGUCCGAUCAGCCAUCUACGGAGAUCUUUUCUGACAUCACAUCGGGAUGGUAAGUUCUUCUAUAAUUUCCACCUUAAUAUGUUACUUUUCAGCAUUUUGUUCAAUAUUUAACGACCUGUGAUCAAAAGGAUCAAUUUUGAUGGCGAUUAACUCGAAGAUGCUGGAGCAGGAACCACUAUUUCGGUUAUGAAUCUGUUGAAGGCUGCAGAUUCCGAACUUCUUGAACUUCCCGAUGGUUAUAAAUUUCAAAGUUUAAAGUUAGGCACUGUGACCUCAUAAAAGGCACAACUCGAUUUACAUUUGGAAUUUCAAGAUGUACCCUUUUCAUGGCCUAAACAAGUUGGGACUCACCAAGAGAAUUGGAUCAAGGGUUUUUGCUUUCAAAUACUAGCGAGGUUUAUGGGGAUUCUCUUGUGCAUCCUCAAUGGUCAACCUGUAAUUGUUGACAUAUAGUUAUCCCAACUCAAAACUUGUUAAUAUGUACACGUUACUAAUUUUAUAAAUAGCAAGGCUAUCAAUCGUUUGCCCAACUACUUCAUCAUAUGUUACGCACAUACACAUAUAAUAGUAAUUCUAUAUUCUUAUGUUCCUGUUAAAGUCAACCUCCUCCUAUAAUUAAUCACCACCGUUAGAUCAUCCUCAGAUGAAAUCCUAUCCGUUUAAAAUUCUAUAUUCUUAUGUUCCUGUUAAAGUCAACCUCCUCCUAUAAUUAAUCACCACCGUUAGAUCAUCCUCAGAUGAAAUCCUAUCCGUUUAAAAUAGCAGAAUCCUUCUAGAAGCAGAAGUUAUCGGUGGUUUUGAACGGUUUUCUUCCUCAGUUUCAUUCCAUCCCACGUCGCCGGCAAUAACCACUUCAAUACCUUCUCUAUUCAUUUACAAAAUACUACCGUAAGAGGAGAUGUUCCAAUCGGUUACUACCACCACCAAGCCAAUCAUCUCCGCCUCUCAAUCUACCGUCUCUGCUGCUCAAUCGGUUGUCACCGUCACGCAAUCGACCAUCACAGCCGUCCGAUCAGCCAUCUACGGAGAUCUUUUCUGACAUCACAUCGGGAUGGUAAGUUCUUCUAUAAUUUCCACCUUAAUAUGUUACUUUUCAGCAUUUUGUUCAAUAUUUAACGACCUGUGAUCAAAAGGAUCAAUUUUGAUGGCGAUUAACUCGAAGAUGCUGGAGCAGGAACCACUAUUUCGGUUAUGAAUCUGUUGAAGGCUGCAGAUUCCGAACUUCUUGAACUUCCCGAUGGUUAUAAAUUUCAAAGUUUAAAGUUAGGCACUGUGACCUCAUAAAAGGCACAACUCGAUUUACAUUUGGAAUUUCAAGAUGUACCCUUUUCAUGGCCUAAACAAGUUGGGACUCACCAAGAGAAUUGGAUCAAGGGUUUUUGCUUUCAAAUACUAGCGAGGUUUAUGGGGAUUCUCUUGUGCAUCCUCAAAAGGAAACAUAUUGGUGGCAUGUGAAUCCAACAGAUACACUAUUUAAUUGUUCUUAUGUUGCUUUUAUAUUAUUUUAUUUAUAAUUUUUAAAUUAAAGUUUCUGAGUUAUGUAGGUGUUAGAAGCUGCUACAGUCAAGUGAAAAGGAUUGCUGAAAAUUUAACAAUGAAUAAUCAGCGUGACACUAGUGUGGAGAUGAAAUCCUAUCCGUUUAAAAUAGCAGAAUCCUUCUAGAAGCAGAAGUUAUCGGUGGUUUUGAACGGUUUUCUUCCUCAGUUUCAUUCCAUCCCACGUCGCCGGCAAUAACCACUUCAAUACCUUCUCUAUUCAUUUACAAAAUACUACCGUAAGAGGAGAUGUUCCAAUCGGUUACUACCACCACCAAGCCAAUCAUCUCCGCCUCUCAAUCUACCGUCUCUGCUGCUCAAUCGGUUGUCACCGUCACGCAAUCGACCAUCACAGCCGUCCGAUCAGCCAUCUACGGAGAUCUUUUCUGACAUCACAUCGGGAUGGUAAGUUCUUCUAUAAUUUCCACCUUAAUAUGUUACUUUUCAGCAUUUUGUUCAAUAUUUAACGACCUGUGAUCAAAAGGAUCAAUUUUGAUGGCGAUUAACUCGAAGAUGCUGGAGCAGGAACCACUAUUUCGGUUAUGAAUCUGUUGAAGGCUGCAGAUUCCGAACUUCUUGAACUUCCCGAUGGUUAUAAAUUUCAAAGUUUAAAGUUAGGCACUGUGACCUCAUAAAAGGCACAACUCGAUUUACAUUUGGAAUUUCAAGAUGUACCCUUUUCAUGGCCUAAACAAGUUGGGACUCACCAAGAGAAUUGGAUCAAGGGUUUUUGCUUUCAAAUACUAGCGAGGUUUAUGGGGAUUCUCUUGUGCAUCCUCAAAAGGAAACAUAUUGGUGGCAUGUGAAUCCAACAGAUACACUAUUUAAUUGUUCUUAUGUUGCUUUUAUAUUAUUUUAUUUAUAAUUUUUAAAUUAAAGUUUCUGAGUUAUGUAGGUGUUAGAAGCUGCUACAGUCAAGUGAAAAGGAUUGCUGAAAAUUUAACAAUGAAUAAUCAGCGUGACACUAGUGUGGAGGUCAGAAUCGGGCGUAUUUUCAACACAUACGGACCUUGGAUGUGUCUAGAUGAUGGCCAUAUAGUUAGCAACUUUGUUUCUCAUGUCAUCCGUAAACAACCAAUGACAGUUUAUGGUGAUGGAUAACAAAAUUCAAGCUUUCAAUACGUCUCCGACUUGGUGAUCAUGGUGGGCCUUUCAGUUUAGGCAGUCCUGGAUAGUUUACCAUGUUAGAGUUUGCUCAGGUUUGUCUUUCAAUAACUUUUUAAUUAAAUUUACUAGAGUUGGCAUAUUCGACCACCUGUUUUCUAAAUGAUGGGUCAAUUUGGGUUAUUCAUAAAUCAUAACCUCGAACAAGUCAGAAAGGAUGGGUUAAACGGGCUAAACGUGUUGAAAGUCACUUCAAACCAUCUUCGCCUAGCUGCCGAAGACAAGGUAUAUCUGAACUUGUAGUGAUGGUUGCAGAUGCCAAACCUCUUGAAAUUCUUCUCUAUCUUCUCUUACCUGGGUGGGUCAGGCUGGUUGUGUAACGGGUUAAAAUAGUUUCAGGUCCAAAGCGGGCCAGACUGUGUCGGAAGAGCAAAUUACCAAGAAAGUUAAAUUAGUUUACGAAAUUAUAUAUUCGUAUGUUCCCAUUAAAGUUAACUCUUUUUAUGGGUUUAUCUUGACCAUUCAAAGUGCUCAACUUUUAAUCCUGACUUUUGAAAAUCAUUUUUUUCUUCAAAGUUAACUCUUUUGAAAAUCAUUGUCCACACAUGGAACUGACUUAAAGAUUGAAAAUUGCAAGUAAGAAGUUUAAAUAGAUGGCUUAGUAGUUAUAUGGGUCAAAGUGAGUGUUUUACUUGAAAAGUUGAAGGGCGGAGUUGAUGUGGGCUUAGGCAAAGUCAACUGGCGUAGUAUAUGUUGCCGCAGGGGAUCCUACACUCAGAACCUUCUGAGCUACGGUGGGUUUCGAAGGGUGUUCAAAACGUGUUUGAUUUUCUUCAAAAUGACUUUCAAGACAUGGAUUUGAUUGGGUGGGGAUCCUUCAAGAUAGAUGAUUUGUCAAAUACGUUAUCGAACAAAAAGCAUAUUGAUAAAAGAAAAUGGGAUAUGCAAAGAUAUCUGAAAAUGUGCGAUCUACCAGCCUUUUCCUAUUUUUGUCUCGUAAGGUUGUCUCUUUGCAAUUUGCAUACAUCAUUACCUUUGAUCAAGUAUCUGGCUUUUCUAAAUGCCUAAGAUACACAUAUAGUAUGAAAGUUCGAGCAGUAGUAAGCACUAGGGAUAGCACUUUUAUGUGCAAGAUGUAACUGACUAAGUUUCAUUUGAAUAUAGUCAAAACUUACCUAUUUUUGGAUAAAUACCUGGACACUCAUGUGUAUCAAAAUAUGUAUGUAAAUGUAAACAAAUGUUUCAAGGAAGUUUUAGUAGUCAAUGGUUGAUUUAAAAAACUUGAUGCAA